GUCUUCUCAUUGAGCUCUUUCUUUGUCGCUCUGUGGCAGUUAUAGAUUCGCACGAGAAGAGAAAAUUCACAGAGCUAGCAUUGUUUUGCCUCCUGUCUUCAGAGGUAUAUGCUGCUGUUUUGUGAGACAUUU